rnacentral:lncRNA from 1 species
AAGAAAUGAAAAAAAGUAAAGACAAGAAAAGGAAACGGAUCCAAGCCAAACAAGAAAAUAGUAUUGAAUUUGGAAACCUAAUUUGACUUGAAUUGUUGCCAAAUUUGGUCACAUCAAUCCUCAUCCAAUUUCGUUUGUUAAACUGCACUUAGGAAAGCUCUUAAACUAAUAUCUUACUUUCCAAAAGUGAACCCAAGUUUCCCAAACAAAUUUUCAAAUCUAGUUGCCAAACAAGUUUUCAAAUUUCAGCCACUUCUUGGUCGAGUAGAAGUUUUCUAGGUUCCUGAAUUUCUGCUAUUCGUGUCAUGUUUUAUUUAAGUGUUGUCCAACCACAAAGUAAAUUAUUUUGAGUCUUAUUUUCAACUUAUAGUUGAGUCUUUACAGUCCUAAUAAGUCCAAAUGAAUCUUGGACUAAACGAGUCAUUAGUUUUCUAAUUGAGUCUUCCUUGUCCAAGUUAGUUAUUUUCCUAUUUUUAUGCCUUCUUUAUUCGAACUAAACCACAAAAUUUUCCAACAAGUUUCUGCAACAUUGAGUCAUUAAAAUUAACCCAAAUUCGUAUUCAUCUCAACUCAAAGUGAACCAAUUUCAUAUACAUCACUUGUGUAAGGAUUGAAGACAACGUAUGAGAGGAGGUGAAUUAGGUAGUUUUAAAAACUGGCCAAGCGAUGAGACACCCUUUUUGAGUACUUGCUCUCUUUUUCUAAAAGACUACACAAUGGAGCAAUUGAUGAGAAAGCACAAGUGCUUGUGAGUAGAAGAGAUGAGCAAUUAAUAAAUCAAGACAGUAAGUAAAAGAGAUAGAGUAUCAAACCAAAUAUCAAACUCCUCUAGAGUUUGAAUAUCAGUUUAUAGAGCAAGUUUCUUCAAGUUGAUCAACUUACAACCAAUCUUUUGUGUACAAUGAAAGGAUCACUUUCUCCUUACCCCAAGCCACACUUGGUCAGGCAGGGAAGUUUUACUAUUAGUCGGAUAACCCUCACAAAGCUACACUAUUGAAGUAAUUGAUUCACACUAGAAAAGUUUAUCGAAAAUUACACAACUAAGAGUACAAAUCCUGUUUGAAGAGUAUUUUACCACUAAAAUCACUCUUAAUCUAAUGUAGUCUCAAUGUGCAAAGUUCUGUUGAAGUGGUUGACUUUGUCCUAUUUAUAUGGGACUAAAACGUUUGUCAAUUAAUGCUUCCAAUGGAUAGAAGGCAGUUAAAGAGUCAACUAGCCGUUGGUAGUGUCGGACGUCUGGUAGACCACUUUCUUGCUUCCGAUCGUAGACAGUGAGCUCAAGAAUUUUUCUUGAUUUAUUUCGGACGUUUCUUAUCAAAUUAUCCAAGGUGUUCUUUUAUAUUCAAAAUAAAAUGCUUAGAACAAAAAAUUUUGAAAUAAGCUGAUGCGAAAAUAGGAUCCAAUGAUUUAAGUUCAAGUCAUGUAAGUGGCGGAUCUAUUGAAUUUCUUCAAAUUUGUCCUUCCUUGGUUUAGUUUUUCUUAAUUUUUAGUCAUUUAUGUUAGUCUAGUUGUUAGUGUCGCUUGGGACAUUAAUUCCAGCAAUAGUGCACGGUUUCAAGGUCAAGAAGUUAAGGGUUCAUGGUCAAGAAUCGAUGGCCAGAUUCGCUAUGGACCCAAUUCAAUCCAUGACUGGAUUGAAUUACAUCUUGUGUUGGAGUUAAUAUUGAAUCGUUAGUUUCAUACAAUAAAGGCUAAGGUUAUAUUGACCAUCCUAUAGCCAAACUAGAGUUAGGUUUAGUUUUCUAUUCUAGUCAAAUUAGAGCUUUAGGAAAGUAAAUUAAUUGUUUUCAAGUUUGUUUAGAGGUUUUAGAGUCUUAUAAGGCUAUAAAUAAACCUAACUUGUAAUGUUUUCAGAGGUUAGACAAUUAUAAGAUAAAUAAAACUGAGAAUUUUCUCUUUCUUGUUCCUUUGAGAGCGUCCCUUGAUACAAAGUGAGUCGUGUCUCUUUUGUUCAAGUUUUGCCUUAUCAAUUCAAGACCACAUUGAAUUGUGGCUCCGUUCUACCAAUAAAUCUUAGUUUGCUAUUUUGUUAAGUCAUGGGUUGCGAUUAAAUUCAAAGUUCAUACCAUUGCAGGUUAAAAGGGUUGAGAUUUUUCCAUCAACUUUGUUUCAUAACCUGAUCAAAAUAGAUUCUUCCGCUGGUUAUACAAUCCAUUUUUUCAAGAGCGGAAAUUUGGAGACUUGACUUCGCAUCAGUAGGUAUCAGAGUUUCGACUUUUGAUCCAAGUUAAUAUCCUUUUCUUUUCUUGUUUUCCUAUUUGUUCUUCUACCAAAUUCCACCCAAUUUAAAAAAAAAAGUUUCACCUCUAGGGUUUGAAUCUCCAUAAUUUUAUUGUGUUGUUGUUUCUAGUUGAUUUCUUAUUUUCUUGUUGACGUCUUGUUUCGUUGCUUUUGUUUAAUUGAGUAAAAAAAAUUUUUUAACUGUUCAUCGAAUACUGUUAGCAUCGUACUAUUCAUCGAGUACUAUAUAUCGGGUACUGUAACGUCAUUAUUGUAGCGAUUACUAUUCAUCAUACUGUAGCAGUUACUGUUCAUCUGAAACAAAAUUUUUUCAAAUUUUAGAAUUCUUGAAACCCUAGUUCAUCUUCUUGGUAUUUGCAGCUAAUUUUUGUUUCUUGGAGUGGUAAGUUGAAUUGAAAAAAAAUAGAAAGAAAGAAAAGAGAUUGAUUCGUGGAAAAAAAAAGGAGAAAAGAAAUGAAAAAAAGUAAAGACAAGAAAAGGAAACGGAUCCAAGCCAAACAAGAAAAUAGUAUUGAAUUUGGAAACCUAAUUUGACUUGAAUUGUUGCCAAAUUUGGUCACAUCAAUCCUCAUCCAAUUUCGUUUGUUAAACUGCACUUAGGAAAGCUCUUAAACUAAUAUCUUACUUUCCAAAAGUGAACCCAAGUUUCCCAAACAAAUUUUCAAAUCUAGUUGCCAAAC